UACUCCUACGGGAGGCAGCAGUGGGGAAUUUUGGACAAUGGGCGAAAGCCUGAUCCAGCCAUGCCGCGUGAGUGAAGAAGGCCUUCGGGUUGUAAAGCUCUUUCAGGUGGAAAGAAAACGCAUAGGUUAAUACCUUGUGCGGAUGACGGUACCAUCAGAAGAAGCACCGGCUAACUACGUGCCAGCAGCCGCGGUAAUA
rnacentral:rRNA from 1 species